GGUGGAAAUAAAAACCCUCUCCCCAAAAGAUUUUCGAUUUAAGGUUGGGUGAGUCCUAAAUCCCAGGCAACAGGCUCAGAGGGGUUUAUAUGCCUGCUCCAAGCCAAGCUCCACUUGCCCGCCCGGCAAGAUUCCACUGGAGAGAGUUAGGUGAUGGUUCUUGACGUCAACCGACCCUGGGUGGCUCUUGAUUCUCAUCUUCCUGACGGUGCCAGAGGGGACAGUUCCAAGGCGGGUCCUCUGUUUUCCUGGGAGCCAUUCCUGCGGGUACGGCCUAUUCUCCUUCCAAUGAUUUUUUUGCUGUGAUCUCCAGGAAAGACCCUCUGAGGGCCUGUGGAUUCCCUCUGAGCAGGAAGAAAGUCUUGUUUUCCUUCUUCUGUUGCAGUGGGAGGGGUAAGGAGGAGAGGUAAGAGAUCCUUCUCAUCCCAGGGGAGGGGACUCUGGGCUUUGUGAUGGGUCUGCCCUGGGGACGUGGAGCAUGACUCCAGUCUUACUCUUCUGCCCCUCUGACGCCUUCCCUAGGAAAUGUGCAUGCCUGAAAUUCCACCUGCAUGUCAGGUGAGGCCCCAUCCAGGAGCGACUUUAUUAGGAACGCCCUAACCCAGGACAAGGUGGGCCCACUGCGGUCUCUAAGGCCAGAGCUCGAGGGACCCUUAGGUGUUCAGUCAGCCUCGACCUCAAACUUUAUUAUCAGGAAAAAAUGUUGAGCAGGCACCCUGCAAAUCUACAGAGGGUGCCAAAAAAUGCGUACACGUUUUCAGAAAGGAAAAACCUAUUAAAUUUGUAAUACUCAAU